UACGUAGGGGGCAAGCGUUGUCCGGAUUUAUUGGGCGUAAAGAGCGUGUAGGCGGCCAGACAGGUCAGCUGUGAAAACUCGAGGCUCAACCUCGAGACGUCGGUUGAAACCGUCUGGCUAGAGUCCGGAAGAGGAGAGUGGAAUUCCCGGUGUAGCGGUGAAAUGCGCAGAUAUCAGGAGGAACACCAAUUGCGAAGGCAGCUCGCUGGGACGUUACUGACGCUGAGGAGCGAAAGCCAGGGGAGCAAACGGG
rnacentral:rRNA from 1 species